CGUGUCGUGAGAUGUUGGGCUAAGUCCCGCAACGAGCGCAACCCUUUUCCUUAUUUGCCAGCGGGUUAAGCCGGGAACUUUAAGGAUACUGCCAGUGACAAACUGGAGGAAGGCGGGGACGACGUCAAGUCAUCAUGGCCCUUACGGCCAGGGCUACACACGUGCUACAAUGGUCGGUACAGAGGGUUGCCAAGCCGCGAGGUGGAGCUAAUCCCAGAAAACCGAUCGUAGUCCGGAUCGCAGUCUGCAACUCGACUGCGUGAAGUCGGAAUCGCUAGUAAUCGUGAAUCAGAAUGUCACGGUGAAUACGUUCCCGGGUCUUGUACACACCGCCC
rnacentral:rRNA from 13 species